AUUGAACGCUGGCGGCAGGCCUAACACAUGCAAGUCGAACGAGUGGCGGACGGGUGAGUAAUGUCUGGGAAACUGCCUGAUGGAGGUGGAUAACUACUGGAAACGGUAGCUAAUCCCGCAUACCAUCGGAUGUGCCCAGAUGGGAUUAGCUAGUAGGUGGGGUAAAGGCUCACCUAGGCGACGAUCCCUAGCUGGUCUGAGAGGAUGACGAGCCACACUGGAAAUGAGACACGGUCCAGACUCCUACGGGAGGAAGCAGUGGGGAAUAUUGCACAAUGGGCGCAAGCCUGAGGAAGCCAUGCCGCGUGUAUAAAGAAGGGCGUCGGGUUGUAAAGUACUUUCAGCGGGGAGGCGUUACCCGCAGAAGAAGCACCGGCUAACGCCGUGCCAGCAGCCGCGGUAAUAC
rnacentral:rRNA from 1 species